AUGAGGCAGGCAGUCGGUAGAGAUCGAGGGCAAGAAAAAGAGAUAAUCAGAGAGGCCCAUAAUAACAAGCUGGCCACUGAAAGUCUGAUGGAUGAACAGGGCCUGCUGCAAUUGCGAUUGCAUGCAUCAUGUAUGGUGCAUGAUGCAACAGGGGCGAUCCUGCAGGCAAGCUCGAUCAGCAUGAUUCGUAACAAGAUUGAUCAGUACACGAAUGAUGAUGAUGCAGGCAAUGCUAGGAGCUAUCUAGUCUGCAUGUUUGUUUGUUCAGUUCUUGGGCUCAAGAAGAGAAAAUGUGCAGAGAUGAUGCAUGGCUACAGUUGGGAGGUACUCCCUCCGUUUCCUAUUAAAAGUCAUUUGAUUUUUUUCUUAGUUAAAGUUCUUUAGGUUUGAUCGA
rnacentral:lncRNA from 1 species